rnacentral:rRNA from 1 species
GACGAACGCUGGCGGCGCGCUUAACACAUGCAAGUCGAGCGAAGCGGCGGACGGGUGAGUAACACGUGAGUAACCUGCCUUAGACAUUGGGAUAGCCUCGGGAAACCGGAAUUAAUACCAAAUGGUCUAAGAUGGACUCGCGUCCCAUUAGCUAGUUGGUGAGGUAACGGCCCACCAAUGCGACGAUGGGUAACCGGGCUGAGAGGGUGAACGGCGACAUUGGAACUGAGAAACGGGCCAAACUCGACGGGAGGCAGCAGUGGGGAAUAUUGCACAAUGGAGGGAACUCUGAUGCAGCGACGCCGCGUGAACGAAGAAGGCUUUCGAGUCGUAAAGUUCUUUUAUAUGGGAAGCGGUACCAUAAGAAAAAGCCCCGGCUAACUACGUGCCAGCAGCCGCGGUAAUAC